AGGGCCCCUGCUUUGUAUCUUUGUACCACGCUAAAGAAAAAUGUUCCUGGGAUCAAAACAAGGCGAUCCAUCAUCUCUUCCUCCAUAGAGGCAAACAAAGCACAAGAGGAUCAAGGAUGCUUUUUAUAGCUGUUCUUUCACUGGAAAUAAAUCCUGGGGGACACCACUACAUCAUUUUUCCUACCCUGACAUCCUGCCCUGAACUUAGCAGCAAUCUCCCGUGGCACAUUUCACCUUCUGUUAAUCCAGCUGGGAUUCAGCAUUACCUGGAGCAGGAAUGGAGGCAAGGUCAGGCUGAGAACUUCUGCCUUCUCCUGGAGUGCAUUGGGGUUUGGAAAAUGGAAUUCCAGGAGCCCUGCAGGAGGUGAUGAGCAGUGAUUCAUGGCACAUCCCAAACCGGGAAUCCAGAUUUCCUGGAGCAGUUUCCUGAGUUCAGCAGUGAUCUGAGCCGUGUCACCACGUCUGUCCUCACCUCUCCUGGUGCAGAUUGUGCACACAGGGAAACAGCUGGGCACUCCCACAGUUAAAACCUUUCCAAGGCACAGAAGAGCAGGACUCAGUGUCAUGGAC